rnacentral:rRNA from 1 species
GGGUUGUGAGGUUAAGCGACUAAGCGUACACGGUGGAUGCCCUGGCAGUCAGAGGCGAUGAAGGACGUGCUAAUCUGCGAUAAGCGUCGGUAAGGUGAUAUGAACCGUUAUAACCGGCGAUUUCCGAAUGGGGAAACCCAGUGUGUUUCGACACACUAUCAUUAACUGAAUCCAUAGGUUAAUGAGGCGAACCGGGGGAACUGAAACAUCUAAGUACCCCGAGGAAAAGAAAUCAACCGAGAUUCCCCCAGUAGCGGCGAGCGAACGGGGAGCAGCCCAGAGCCUGAAUCAGUGUGUGUGUUAGUGGAAGCGUCUGGAAAGGCGCGCGAUACAGGGUGACAGCCCCGUACACAAAAAUGCACAUGCUGUGAGCUCGAUGAGUAGGGCGGGACACGUGGUAUCCUGUCUGAAUAUGGGGGGACCAUCCUCCAAGGCUAAAUACUCCUGACUGACCGAUAGUGAACCAGUACCGUGAGGGAAAGGCGAAAAGAACCCCGGCGAGGGGAGUGAAAAAGAACCUGAAACCGUGUACGUACAAGCAGUGGGAGCACGCUUAGGCGUGUGACUGCGUACCUUUUGUAUAAUGGGUCAGCGACUUAUAUUCUGUAGCAAGGUUAACCGAAUAGGGGAGCCGAAGGGAAACCGAGUCUUAACUGGGCGUUAAGUUGCAGGGUAUAGACCCGAAACCCGGUGAUCUAGCCAUGGGCAGGUUGAAGGUUGGGUAACACUAACUGGAGGACCGAACCGACUAAUGUUGAAAAAUUAGCGGAUGACUUGUGGCUGGGGGUGAAAGGCCAAUCAAACCGGGAGAUAGCUGGUUCUCCCCGAAAGCUAUUUAGGUAGCGCCUCGUGAAUUCAUCUCCGGGGGUAGAGCACUGUUUCGGCAAGGGGGUCAUCCCGACUUACCAACCCGAUGCAAACUGCGAAUACCGGAGAAUGUUAUCACGGGAGACACACGGCGGGUGCUAACGUCCGUCGUGAAGAGGGAAACAACCCAGACCGCCAGCUAAGGUCCCAAAGUCAUGGUUAAGUGGGAAACGAUGUGGGAAGGCCCAGACAGCCAGGAUGUUGGCUUAGAAGCAGCCAUCAUUUAAAGAAAGCGUAAUAGCUCACUGGUCGAGUCGGCCUGCGCGGAAGAUGUAACGGGGCUAAACCAUGCACCGAAGCUGCGGCAGCGACGCUUAUGCGUUGUUGGGUAGGGGAGCGUUCUGUAAGCCUGUGAAGGUGUGCUGUGAGGCAUGCUGGAGGUAUCAGAAGUGCGAAUGCUGACAUAAGUAACGAUAAAGCGGGUGAAAAGCCCGCUCGCCGGAAGACCAAGGGUUCCUGUCCAACGUUAAUCGGGGCAGGGUGAGUCGACCCCUAAGGCGAGGCCGAAAGGCGUAGUCGAUGGGAAACAGGUUAAUAUUCCUGUACUUGGUGUUACUGCGAAGGGGGGACGGAGAAGGCUAUGUUGGCCGGGCGACGGUUGUCCCGGUUUAAGCGUGUAGGCUGGUUUUCCAGGCAAAUCCGGAAAAUCAAGGCUGAGGCGUGAUGACGAGGCACUACGGUGCUGAAGCAACAAAUGCCCUGCUUCCAGGAAAAGCCUCUAAGCAUCAGGUAACAUCAAAUCGUACCCCAAACCGACACAGGUGGUCAGGUAGAGAAUACCAAGGCGCUUGAGAGAACUCGGGUGAAGGAACUAGGCAAAAUGGUGCCGUAACUUCGGGAGAAGGCACGCUGAUAUGUAGGUGAAGCGACUUGCUCGUGGAGCUGAAAUCAGUCGAAGAUACCAGCUGGCUGCAACUGUUUAUUAAAAACACAGCACUGUGCAAACACGAAAGUGGACGUAUACGGUGUGACGCCUGCCCGGUGCCGGAAGGUUAAUUGAUGGGGUCAGCGCAAGCGAAGCUCUUGAUCGAAGCCCCGGUAAACGGCGGCCGUAACUAUAACGGUCCUAAGGUAGCGAAAUUCCUUGUCGGGUAAGUUCCGACCUGCACGAAUGGCGUAAUGAUGGCCAGGCUGUCUCCACCCGAGACUCAGUGAAAUUGAACUCGCUGUGAAGAUGCAGUGUACCCGCGGCAAGACGGAAAGACCCCGUGAACCUUUACUAUAGCUUGACACUGAACAUUGAGCCUUGAUGUGUAGGAUAGGUGGGAGGCUUUGAAGUGUGGACGCCAGUCUGCAUGGAGCCGACCUUGAAAUACCACCCUUUAAUGUUUGAUGUUCUAACGUUGACCCGUAAUCCGGGUUGCGGACAGUGUCUGGUGGGUAGUUUGACUGGGGCGGUCUCCUCCUAAAGAGUAACGGAGGAGCACGAAGGUUGGCUAAUCCUGGUCGGACAUCAGGAGGUUAGUGCAAUGGCAUAAGCCAGCUUGACUGCGAGCGUGACGGCGCGAGCAGGUGCGAAAGCAGGUCAUAGUGAUCCGGUGGUUCUGAAUGGAAGGGCCAUCGCUCAACGGAUAAAAGGUACUCCGGGGAUAACAGGCUGAUACCGCCCAAGAGUUCAUAUCGACGGCGGUGUUUGGCACCUCGAUGUCGGCUCAUCACAUCCUGGGGCUGAAGUAGGUCCCAAGGGUAUGGCUGUUCGCCAUUUAAAGUGGUACGCGAGCUGGGUUUAGAACGUCGUGAGACAGUUCGGUCCCUAUCUGCCGUGGGCGCUGGAGAACUGAGGGGGGCUGCUCCUAGUACGAGAGGACCGGAGUGGACGCAUCACUGGUGUUCGGGUUGUCAUGCCAAUGGCACUGCCCGGUAGCUAAAUGCGGAAGAGAUAAGUGCUGAAAGCAUCUAAGCACGAAACUUGCCCCGAGAUGAGUUCUCCCUGACCCUUUAAGGGUCCUGAAGGAACGUUGAAGACGACGACGUUGAUAGGCCGGGUGUGUAAGCGCAGCGAUGCGUUGAGCUAACCGGUACUAAUGAACCGUGAGGCUUAACCUUACAACGCCGAAGCUGUU